rnacentral:rRNA from 1 species
UACGUAGGGGGCAAGCGUUGUUCGGAAUGACUGGGCGUAAAGGGUGCGUAGGCGGUGUAGCAAGUUAGAAGUGAAAUACCUAGAGCUUAACUCAGGUGCUGCUUCUAAAACUGCUAUACUUGAGUGCAGUAGAGGAAAGUGGAAUUCCUAGUGUAGCGGUGGAAUGCGUAGAUAUUAGGAGGAACAUCAGUGGCGAAGGCGACUUUCUGGACUGUAACUGACACUGAGGCACGAAAGUGUGGGGAGCAAACAGG